AGUGAACGCUGGCGGCGUGCUUAACACAUGCAAGUCGAACGAGAACGGGUUAUAGCUUGCUAUAAUUGUCAGCUAAGUGGCGCACGGGUGAGUAAUGUAUAGGUAAUAUGCCUCUUACUAAGGGAUAACAAAUGGAAACGUUUGCUAAUACCUUAUACUCCUUAUUAACAGAAGUUAAUAAGGGAAAGAGUUAUUGGUAAGAGAGUAGCCUGUAUUGUAUCAGUUAGUUGGUGGGGUAAUGGCUUACCAAGACUAUGACACAUAACUGGUUUGAGAGGGUGAUCAGUCACACUGGAACUGAGACACGGUCCAGACUCCUACGGGAGGCAGCAGUGGGGAAUAUUGCACAAUGGACGAAAGUCUGAUGCAGCAACGCCGCGUGGAGGAUGACACAUUUCGGUGCGUAAACUCCUUUUAUAUGAGAAGAUAAUGACGGUAUUAUAUGAAUAAGCACCGGCUAACUCCGUGCCAGCCGCCGCGGUAA
rnacentral:rRNA from 1 species